GAAGAAAUUGAUUAAAGCGGCAGAGAGGAGAUAGAGGUUGACGGCGCUCAUAUGAAGAAAGAAGAUUCAGCAGCGGCCGCACUGAGUAUCACGGAGGCGAAUCGAAGUGGGAAUUCAUCAGCAGGGUCAAAUGAGAGAGAAAUCUGGGGAUUAGAUCAAGGAAAGAACUUCAACGAUUUAAAGAAACAACCAUCGUCGAGAAGUGCAGAACUUGAAGGAGCUUGAUCCAACGAAGGAUGAAGGAGAUGGCGGUAAUGAUGGCAACAGUGGUUAUGGGACGGGUUUUUUAUAUGAGUUACCCGCCCGUUGUCGGGUUAUACCGUAGCUGCCCGUUUAUAUAAAUGGGUAUAAUUCUUAAAUCGUGUCCAUUAGUUUGUGGAUUUCGGAUUUACCUGUUUAGCCGCGUAAUUCCCAAUUACUAAAAUAAAUCACUCAUUUUUUGAUUGUAGAAUGGUCAAAACAUAAUUGCUCAUAUUGGUAAAAUAGGGUUCCUAUUCGAUAACAAUGAAAAAAUCCAACAUAAACAAUGAACCAUAUAAUUUAGAUAGUUUGAAUAGAC
rnacentral:lncRNA from 1 species